UCACGUUUCACGUAACAACAGACGUGUGUUCAAAAUGAGAGAGAACUCAAACUUUAACUAAAUAACAGCGAGUGAUGCCUAAUAUUCAUCUGGCAGAGAGGAUUCUGGGUAACACCAUGCUUGUUAAAAGGCGCAGUGAGAUGAUUCUAACCCUGUCGACCUCUGGAAGACGACGCUGUGAUGGUCUCAGGAGGCAGAUAAUGAACCUUGAUAGACGGAUUUAAACAACAGAUGAGAAAGCAGCUGUCAACACGAGGCAGAAGAGAUCUGUAGAAACUCUAAACCUGCCGGCGGAAACACUCGAUUUUCUGAGUGGGCGUGACGGUGCGUUCAAGUGCACAGCAGCAGUCUGCAAGACAACAACAACAACAACAACAGUUACAUGAUGGAGAGAGAGAGAGA